rnacentral:piRNA from 1 species
AGUGCUAGAAAACUGCUCAAAUACAUAAUG